GUGCCAGCAGCCGCGGUAAGACGAACCGUGCGAACGUUAUUCGGAAUCACUGGGCUUAAAGCGCGUGUAGGCGGGCCGGCACGUCCGAUGCUGAAAUCCCCCGGCUCAACCGGGGAAGGGGCGCGGAUACGACCGGCCUGGAGGGACGUAGGGGGACCUGGAACUUCCGGUGGAGCGGUGAAAUGCGUUGAGAUCGGAAGGAACGCCCGUGGCGAAAGCGAGGUCCUGGACGUUUUCUGACGCUGAGACGCGAAAGCCAGGGGAGCGAACGGGAUUAGAUACCCCCGUAGUCC
rnacentral:rRNA from 1 species